GAUGAACGCUGGCGGCGUGCCUAAUACAUGCAAGUCGAGCGAACAGACGAGGAGCUUGCUCCUCUGACGUUAGCGACGGACGGGUGAGUAACACGUGGAUAACCUACCUAUAAGACUUGGAUAACUUCGGGAAACCGGAGCUACUACCGGAUAAUAUAUUGAACCGCAUGGUUCAAUAGUGAAAGACGGUUUUGCUGUCACUUAGGGAUGGAUCCGCGUCGUAUUAGCUAGUUGGUAGGGUAACAGCUUACCAAGGCAGCGAUGCGUAGCCGACCUGAGAGGGUGACCGGCCACAUUGGGACUGAGAUACGGCCCAGACGCCUACGGGAGGCAGCAGUGGGGAAUAUUGCACAAUGGGUGGAAGCCUGAUGCAGCAACGCCGUGUGCGGGAGGACGGCCUUCGGGUUGUAAACCGCUUUCGCUCAUGACGAAGCUUUGUGUGACGGUAGUGGGUAAAGAAGCACCGGCUAACGACGUG
rnacentral:rRNA from 1 species